rnacentral:lncRNA from 1 species
GAAAAAUCAUUGUUGUCGGCAUCUGCGAAGAAGAGAUCCAGGUUGAAAAUCAGGAACACAAGACAGAUCUGGCCAUUUUGGAAUAUAUCGUCGGUGGAAAUCGGCGAUCCGUCGGGAUUGGUGCAUGCGAAAGAGAAAUCAAGUAGAAAUUCAAGUAAAUUAAGCAAAAAUCAAAAUGAAAAUAACGAAUUGAAGCAGAUGGAACAAACCUGCAAAGGAAAUGGAGGCAUCGGCGGCGAGAACACGUGUGAGGCCACCUACGUAACGGAGAUUGUCGUCGGUCUUGUGUUGGUCCAUGGCUUUGAGACUGUUUGGUUUACUUUGAAGGCAAAGAGAGGGAAGAAGGGAGAUAACAG